rnacentral:rRNA from 2 species
CCUACGGGUGGCUGCAGUGGGGAAUCAUCCGCAAUGGGCGAAAGCCUGACGGUGCGACGCCGCGUGGAGGAUGAAUGCCUUCGGGUUGUAAACUCCUGUCACAGGUUAUGAAUGGCGUGGUGUGAAUAGCAUCACGCUUGACAAAGGCUUGAGAGGAAGCACCGGCUAACUCCGUGCCAGCAGCCGCGGUAAUACGGAGGGUGCAAGCGUUACUCGGAUUCACUGGGCUUAAAGCGCACGUAGGCGGCAUCGUAAGUCCAUUGUGAAAUCCCCCGGCUCAACCGGGGAAUGGCGAUGGAUACUGCGGAGCUUGAGGACGGUAGGGGAGAGUGGAACUCCUGGUGGAGCGGUGAAAUGCGUAGAUAUCAGGAGGAACACCGGUGGUGAAGACGACUCUCUGGUCCGUUUCUGACGCUGAGGUGCGAAAGCCAGGGGAGCGAACGGGCUUAGAUACCCCUGUAGUC